AACGAACGCUGGCGGCAGGCUUAACACAUGCAAGUCGAACGAAGCCUUCGGGCUUAGUGCCAGACGGGUGAGUAACGCGUGGGAACAUACCUUUCGGUACGGAACAACAGUUGGAAACGACUGCUAAUACCGUAUGCGCCCUAUGGGGGAAAGAUUUAUCGCCGAGAGAUUGGCCCGCGUUAGAUUAGCUAGUUGGUGGGGUAAUGGCCUACCAAGGCGACGAUCUAUAGCUGGUCUGAGAGGAUGAUCAGCCACACUGGGACUGAGACACGGCCCAG
rnacentral:rRNA from 1 species